rnacentral:rRNA from 1 species
GACGAACGCUGGCGGCGUGCUUAACACAUGCAAGUCGAACGGAAAGGCCCUGCUUUUGUGGGGUGCUCGAGUGGCGAACGGGUGAGUAACACGUGAGUAACCUGCCCUUGACUUUGGGAUAACUUCAGGAAACUGGGGCUAAUACCGGAUAGGAGCUCCUGCUGCAUGGUGGGGGUUGGAAAGUUUCGGCGGUUGGGGAUGGACUCGCAGCUUAUCAGCUUGUUGGUGGGGUAGUGGCUUACCAAGGCUUUGACGGGUAGCCGGCCUGAGAGGGUGACCGGCCACAUUGGGACUGAGGUACGGCCCAGACGCCUACGGGAGGCAGCAGUGGGGAAUAUUGCACAAUGGGCGGAAGCCUGAGGCAGCAACGCCGCGUGCGGGAUGACGGCCUUCGGGUUGUAAACCGCUUUCGCCUGUGACGAAGCGUGAGUGACGGUAAUGGGUAAAGAAGCACCGGCUAACUACGUG